UAUUUUAGAAGAGUGAAAAGAAGAGUUGG
rnacentral:piRNA from 1 species